rnacentral:misc_RNA from 1 species
UGUUUUUUGUCAGAUAAGAUUCAAACAUGCGCAACUACAACAACUUCAACCGCGUGUGGAAGGCGCCGCGUCGUCCGUUCGAGAAGGAGCGCCUCGACCGCGAGAUGAAGCUGUGCGGCCAGUACGGUCUGCGCUGCAAGCGUGAGAUCUGGCGUGUGAACAUGACGCUGUCCAAGAUGCGCCGCACGGCCCGUCUGCUGCUGACGCUGCCGGAGAACCACCCCCGCCGUCUGCUGGAGGGUUCCGCCAUCAUGCGCCGCUGCCACGAGUAUGGCUUCCUCGACGAGGAGAAGGACAAGCUGGAUUACGUGCUGUCGCUGACGGUGCCGGACAUUCUCGAGCGCCGCCUGCAGACCAUCGUCUUCAAGGCCGGUCUCGCCAAGUCCGUGCACCACGCCCGCGUCCUGAUUCAGCAGCGCCACAUCGCCGUCGCCAAGCAGAUUGUGACGAUCCCGUCCUUCAUCGUGCGCGUGAGCAGUGAGCGCCACAUCGCCUUCGCUGAUGCUUCGCCGUUCGGCAACGGCCGACCUGGCCGCGUCAAGCGCGUGCGCGCGAAGGCCGCCAAGCGCCACGCCGGCGGCGGCGAUGACGACGAGUAAGAUGGAAGAAGCACGCCCUUGUGCCGCACCGGCGUGGGGACGCAUUGUGCAGGCUGAAGGCGUUUGCCUCUCAUACGAUCGGCGCUUCGAGUACCUUUGGGCUCCCUGCGUCGCACGUGUAGAGAGCGGCCCGACCCCCCCCCCCUCGCGUCCGUCUUGUACGCGGCACUGACUGGGCACGUAUACGACGUUGUGAAAAAGCCCCGAUCGUUUCGUUUUGCUUUUUUUUGCUUUCCUCUAUGAUCAUCAUUUCACCGCCCAAAUCCCUACACAAGGCAUGCGCAUCCACGCAUCCACCAUGGCAGGAGUUGUCGCUGGGGGUUUUCUCAGCGAGGACGUCAUCUCCGUAUUUGCCCGUACCGUCUCGCGUUUCUUUCGUCCGAGUUCUCGGACGGCGCGAAUCUGCCUCCACGUGCCACUGACUAUCCGCCGCUAAGUUUGCUUGUGUGGUUGACUUUCAACAGCGAGCGGCGACAGUUGGUGUGGCAGGCGCGGCGGAAAAGCAGACGCGGAUAUCAACACUAUGGAUGCUGAGUCGUUGCCAGCUCCAUGGGCGGCAGCAUUACGUUUCGCAGCUUGCCAUCCAGAAGAGCGUCCCUCCCCCAACCAGGUAUCGCGCUGUAAAUGUGUGUAUGCUCCGCGCGACCUCAGAGGACUGUAGCGCGAGCGGCCCUAUCACCCACCGCACAUGGGCUGCUCUGCGCCUCUGCGUUCUAUGUGCGUUUCCACUCUCCGCUUCACUGCAUCACCGACACGCCCCUCACCCCCUUCCCUCACACACACAAACACACACCACGGCAACGUCCUACACAAUGCGCGCCUCCCGCGCGACUCCACAG